GCCCUGCCAUAUGGUCACAUACUAGAAUCGGAACAAUACAGAGAAGAAUAUCAUGGCUCCUGCCCAAGGAUGAUGCACAAAUCCAUAAAGUGUUGUGUAUUGAA